UACGAAGGGGGCUAGCGUUGUUCGGAAUUACUGGGCGUAAAGCGCACGUAGGCGGAUUGCUAAGUCAGGGGUGAAAUCCUGGAGCUCAACUCCAGAACUGCCUUUGAUACUGGGAGUCUCGAGUCCGGGAGAGGUGAGUGGAACUGCGAGUGUAGAGGUGAAAUUCGUAGAUAUUCGCAAGAACACCAGUGGCGAAGGCGGCUCACUGGCCCGGUACUGACGCUGAGGUGCGAAAGCGUGGGGAGCAACAGG
rnacentral:rRNA from 1 species